UGCACGUUCAUGUGUUCAGAUUGAAUUUCAAAUUCUGCAAUGAAGUUGUCGUGGUUUAUCACUAUUUUCUUAGUUAUUUUCGCCUGCAUCCAUGUAGCAGAAUUAAAUCCUGGUGGUAAAAAGGGUAAAAAAGGAAAGGGUAAAAAGGGAUGUGGAAAGAGAUAAGGACAUCGACAAGAGAAGUAAUUCAAGCUGAUGACCGCUUCGCAUUGAAAUCAGCUAGAAGGAAAGCAGAAAUCGCGAGUGUAACGUAGAAUUUCUGAUUUUGUCGAUAAAAAUGUCCAAUGUUCAGGUCAAAUAAAUACUGUUGCAUUGAAA